rnacentral:rRNA from 1 species
AGUGAACGCUGGCGGUAGGCCUAACACAUGCAAGUCGAACGGCAGCACAGUAAGAGCUUGCUCUUACGGGUGGCGAGUGGCGGACGGGUGAGGAAUACAUCGGAAUCUACUUUUUCGUGGGGGAUAACGUAGGGAAACUUACGCUAAUACCGCAUACGACCUACGGGUGAAAGCAGGGGAUCCUCGGACCUUGCGCGAUUGAAUGAGCCGAUGUCGGAUUAGCUAGUUGGCGGGGUAAAGGCCCACCAAGGCGACGAUCCGUAGCUGGUCUGAGAGGAUGAUCGGCCACACUGGACCUGGAACGCGGUCCGGACUCCUACGGGAGGCGGCAGUGGGGAAUAUUGGACAAUGGGCGCAAGCCUGAUCCAGCCAUACCGCGUGGGUGAAGAAGGCCUUCGGGUUGUAAAGCCCUUUUGUUGGGAAAGAAAAGCAGCAGGUUAAUACCCCGCUGUUCUGACGGUACCCAAAGAAUAAGCACCGGCUAACUUCGUG